GGAGCGGCCAAGCGGGAGGGAGGCCGGGCCGCCCGCGCGGUCUCGUACCCUCCUCGCGCGCCCAGCACCCCGCUUGCCCAGCGGCCGCUCGGAAGCUCAGCCCGCCCGCCCCAUCCAGGCGCCGUGGCGGGCUAGCCGGGAAGCGAGCGGCUGACAAGUUGAGGCGCGCACAGGCGGCGGGCCGCGGGCACCGUGCGCCUCGGGAAGGGUGGCCGCCGCUCCGGGCUCCGCACCCCGGGCGCACUUGGGCGAUGGCUUCCCCGCCGCCGCGGCUGCGUCUUCGCCCUCGCCGCUACCUCCUGCUGCUGCUUCUCCCCGGGCUCCUGCUACCUCUCUGUGAUGCCUUCAACCUAGACGUAGACAGUCCUGCCGAGUACGCUGGCCCCGAGGGAAGUUACUUCGGCUUCGCAGUGGACUUUUUCGUGCCCAGCGCGUCUUCGAGGAUGUUUCUUCUGGUGGGAGCUCCCAAAGCGAAUACCACCCAGCCUGGGAUUGUAGAAGGAGGACAAGUCCUCAAAUGUGAUUGGUCUUCUACCCGCCGAUGCCAGCCAAUCGAAUUUGAUGCAACAGGUAAAUAUU